AUUGAACGCUGGCGGCAGGCCUAACACAUGCAAGUCGGGCGCGCGGCGGACGGGUGCGUAAUGUCUGGGGAACUGCCUGAUGGCGGGGGAUAACUACUGGAAACGGUAGCUAAUACCGCAUCCCAUCAGAUGUACCCAUAUGGGAUUAGCUUGUAGGUGAGGUAACGGCUCACCUAGGCGACGAUCCCUAGCUGGGCUGAGAGGAUGAUCAGCCACGCUGGGACUGAGACACGGCCCAGACUCCUACGGGAGGCAGCAGUGGGGAAUAUUGCACAAUGGGCGCAAGCCUGAUGCAGCCAUGCCGCGUGUAUGAAGAAGGACUUCGGGUUGUAAAGUACUUUCAGUCGGGAGGCGUUAACUGCAGAAGAAGCACCGGCUAAAUCCGUGCCAGCAGCCGCGGUAAUAC
rnacentral:rRNA from 1 species